rnacentral:rRNA from 1 species
GAUGAACGCUAGCGGAAGGCCUAAUACAUGCAAGUCGAACGGGCAUAUUGAUUUCGGUUAAUAUGUUAGUGGCGCACGGGUGAGUAACGCGUACACAACCUACCUUAUAUUGGGGGAUAGCCCUGGGAAACUGGGAGUAAUACCGCAUAACAUUAUAGAGAGGCAUCUUUUAUAAUAAAGCAUUUGCGAUAUAAGAUGGGUGUGCGUCUGAUUAGGUAGUUGGUGGGGUAAAGGCCUACCAAGCCUGUGAUCUGUAGCUGGUUUGAGAGGAUGAUCAGCCACACUGGGACUGAGACACGGCCCAGACUCCUACGGGAGGCAGCAGUGGGGAAUAUUGGACAAUGGGGGGAAACCCUGAUCCAGCAAUGCCGCGUGAAUGAAGAAGGCCUUAGGGUUGUAAAGUUCUUUGUCCGUGACGAUAAUGACGGUAGCGGACGAAUAAGCCCUGGCUAACUCUGUGCCAGCAGCCGCGGUAAUGUACAGUGU